rnacentral:lncRNA from 1 species
GAAGCCAGGUGGGCUCUGAGCAUCCCCCCACAGCCCGGGGCUCGUGUGCCUGCAGUUCACCUUUCCCAACCUGUGCUUUCCAUCUCACUCCGAAGACAACAUACAACCACACGGGCUCUUGCUUCCCUCCUCUCCCCAGCAGCCCCAAAGCGGGGAAUGAGCUGUCUCCGGGAUAUCCACUACCACCCAGAGCGGCCACCGGGGCCAAGCUGGCUCCCUGCCCAGGGGAAAAACAGCCACGUGCCAUGGGUCGUUCAGGCAUGCAAUUCCUCAUCCCGGCUCUGAACCUGGCCCCUAGGCCUGCCUACACCAUGCUCGUGGACUCCUCCCCUCAUCAAGCUUGCCUUUGUCUCACCACACUGCCUCUGGAAUCUCCAACAGUCACCAGCUCAACUCCCGUGGUUCACUGACCCAGAGCUCUAAUAGGCAGCUCUCCAGACCCAUCUUGGAUCGGCCCCAUAGUGCAUGUGCCAGGACCACACAAUGGGCGCCCGGCUUCUUCUGUUCCCGGGGGCACGGGCAAACUGUAUAGUUAUUCUGCUAC